CUUAAAUGAAAAUAGUUUUAUAACCAUUUUAUAAUUUAAAUAAACGAGAAAUAUCAGUUUAUGUUGCGAAUUUUUUAAAGGUUUUGUUAUUUGUGGAUUUUACAAUGAUUCUCAAUGACUGGCUCCUUUCCUGGUUUUGUAUGAAGGAAAGCUUGAACAAAGGGAAGGUAUAAGGAAGUUAUCAUGUGACAUGAUUAAUGCACAGAUAAAAUGAAAAA